rnacentral:rRNA from 1 species
GUCACUUUGCUUCUUUGGCAAAUGUGAGAUGCAGUGUAUGGAACAUCGUAAAUCUGGUAUGAGAAAUUGACGAUUUAAGUCCUUCUUAAAUGAGGCCAUUUACCCAUAGAGGGUGCCAGGCCCGUAUAACGUCAAUGAUUACUAGAGGGUGUUUCCAAAGAGUCGUGUUGCUUGAUAGUGCAGCACUAAGUGGGUGGUAAACUCCAUCUAAAACUAAAUAUAACCAUGAGACCGAUAGUAAACAAGUACCGUGAGGGAAAGUUGAAAAGAACUCUGAAUAGAGAGUUAAAUAGUACGUGAAACUGCUUAGAGGUUAAGCCCGAUGAACCUGAAUAUCCAUUGUGGAAAAUUCAUCAUUGUGAAUGCGGUAUUUAAACAAUACUGCAGUAACGGUGUGCAUUUUUUCCGCAUAAGGACAUUGUAAUCUAUUAACAAUAUGUGUAUUUAUCAAAAGAUCAUCUGCAAUGGUUUGUUCAAAUUAGAUUUGCUCGCAUUUCUAACACAGGACAAAUGCACGGUGAUUGGAUAAAGCGUUGAUAGAUUUUUUCUGUAUAGUGCUUAAAUUCUUCGGAAUUUUCGGAAUGACAUCGGACCCAUUGGGUCUGUGUGUUCAUGCGAUGCGCUUAUAUGAUUGACAAUUCG